rnacentral:rRNA from 1 species
GACGAGCGGCGGACGGGUGAGUAAUGUCUGGGGAUCUGCCUGAUGGAGGGGGAUAACUACUGGAAACGGUAGCUAAUACCGCAUAACGUCGCAAGACCAAAGUGGGGGACCUUCGGGCCUCAUGCUAUCAGAUGAACCCAGAUGGGAUUAGCUAGUAGGUGUGGUAAUGGCUCACCUAGGCGACGAUCCCUAGCUGGUCUGAGAGGAUGACCAGCCACACUGGAACUGAGACACGGUCCAGACUCCUACGGGAGGCAGCAGUGGGGAAUAUUGCACAAUGGGCGCAAGCCUGAUGCAGCCAUGCCGCGUGUAUGAAGAAGGCCUUCGGGUUGUAAAGUACUUUCAGUAGGGAGGAAGGUGUGAACGUUAAUAGCGCUCACAAUUGACGUUACCUACAGAAGAAGCACCGGCUAACUCCGUGCCAGCAGCCGCGGUAAUACGGAGGGUGCAAGCGUUAAUCGGAAUUACUGGGCGUAAAGCGCACGCAGGCGGUUUGUUAAGUUGGAUGUGAAAUCCCCGGGCUUAACCUGGGAACUGCAUCCAAGACUGGCAAGCUAGAGUCUCGUAGAGGGAGGUAGAAUUCCAGGUGUAGCGGUGAAAUGCGUAGAGAUCUGGAGGAAUACCGGUGGCGAAGCGGCCUCCUGGACGAGACUGACGCUCAGUGCGAAAGCGUGGGGAGCAAACAGGAUUAGAUACCCUGUAGUCCACGCUGUAACGAUGUCGAUUUGGAGUUGUGCCCUUGAGGCGUGGCUUCCGAAGCUAACGCGUUAAAUCGACCGCCUGGGGAGUACGGCCGCAAGGUUAAAACUCAAAUGAAUUGACGGGGGCCCGCACAAGCGGUGGAGCAUGUGGUUUAAUUCGAUGCAACGCGAAGAACCUUACCUACUCUUGACAUCCAGCGAAUCCUGUAGAGAUACGGGAGUGCCUUCGGGAACGCUGAGACAGGUGCUGCAUGGCUGUCGUCAGCUCGUGUUGUGAAAUGUUGGGUUAAGUCCCGCAACGAGCGCAACCCUUAUCCUUUGUUGCCAGCGGUUCGGCCGGGAACUCAAAGGAGACUGCCAGUGAUAAACUGGAGGAAGGUGGGGAUGACGUCAAGUCAUCAUGGCCCUUACGAGUAGGGCUACACACGUGCUACAAUGGCGUAUACAAAGAGAAGCGAACUCGCGAGAGCAAGCGGACCUCAUAAAGUACGUCGUAGUCCGGAUUGGAGUCUGCAACUCGACUCCAUGAAGUCGGAAUCGCUAGUAAUCGUGGAUCAGAAUGCCACGGUGAAUACGUUCCCGGGCCUUGUACACACCGCCCGUCACACCAUGGGAGUGGGUUGCAAAAGAAGUAGGUAGCUUAACCUUCGGGAGGGCGCUUACCACUUUGUGAUUCAUGACUGGGGUG